rnacentral:rRNA from 1 species
CUAACACAUGCAAGUCGAGCGGAAACGACACUAACAAUCCUUCGGGUGCGUUAAUGGGCGUCGAGCGGCGGACGGGUGAGUAAUGCCUAGGAAAUUGCCUUGAUGUGGGGGAUAACCAUUGGAAACGAUGGCUAAUACCGCAUAAUGCCUACGGGCCAAAGAGGGGGACCUUCGGGCCUCUCGCGUCAAGAUAUGCCUAGGUGGGAUUAGCUAGUUGGUGAGGUAAUGGCUCACCAAGGCGACGAUCCCUAGCUGGUCUGAGAGGAUGAUCAGCCACACUGGAACUGAGACACGGUCCAGACUCCUACGGGAGGCAGCAGUGGGGAAUAUUGCACAAUGGGCGAAAGCCUGAUGCAGCCAUGCCGCGUGUAUGAAGAAGGCCUUCGGGUUGUAAAGUACUUUCAGUUGUGAGGAAGGGGGUAGCGUUAAUAGCUCUAUCUCUUGACGUUAGCAACAGAAGAAGCACCGGCUAACUCCGUGCCAGCAGCCGCGGUAAUACGGAGGGUGCGAGCGUUAAUCGGAAUUACUGGGCGUAAAGCGCAUGCAAGUGGUUCAUUAAGUCAGAUGUGAAAGCCCGGGGCUCAACCUCGGAACUGCAUUUGAAACUGUGAACUAGAGUACUGUAGAGGGGGGUAGAAUUUCAGGUGUAGCGGUGAAAUGCGUAGAGAUCUGAAGGAAUACCAAUGGCGAAGGCGGCCCCCUGGACAGAUACUGACACUC